CCUCAGAAUUCUACCAGCGCACCUCAUUCAGACAUUCAUCAAGAAAAAGGCCAGCUGAAGGCAGACAGCCAACAAAACCCAGUCGUUAGCCACAGCCCUGGCUGUCCUCGUGCAUCAAGCCUGCCCAUUGGGAGCUUCCAUUCAUCUUACCUGUCUGUUAUGGAAGAAGCCCCAUUGCAAUCAGAAGAUUAUUUAUGGAAAAAAGCAAAAUGGAGAUAUUUAAAAGACUGAGAGAGAGAGCAGAAAGCUGCUUAAGAAAUUGCUUUGAGUCCACAGGAGGGAAGCACAAAGGAGAUGGGAUAAUAGUGUUAUACACUACAU
rnacentral:lncRNA from 1 species